AUUGGUGCUUGCAUCAUGAUUUACAUUUGAGUGAGUGGCGAACUGGUGAGUAACACGUGGGAAACCUGCCCAGAAGCGGGGGAUAACACCUGGAAACAGAUGCUAAUACCGCAUAACAACUUGGACCGCAUGGUCCGAGCUUGAAAGAUGGCUUCGGCUAUCACUUUUGGAUGGUCCCGCGGCGUAUUAGCUAGAUGGUGGGGUAACGGCUCACCAUGGCAAUGAUACGUAGCCGACCUGAGAGGGUAAUCGGCCACAUUGGGACUGAGACACGGCCCAAACUCCUACGGGAGGCAGCAGUAGGGAAUCUUCCACAAUGGACGAAAGUCUGAUGGAGCAACGCCGCGUGAGUGAAGAAGGGUUUCGGCUCGUAAAACUCUGUUGUUAAAGAAGAACAUAUCUGAGAGUAACUGUUCAGGUAUUGACGGUAUUUAACCAGAAAGCCACGGCUAACUACGUGCCAGCAGCCGCGGUAAUACGUAGGUGGCAAGCGUUGUCCGGAUUUAUUGGGCGUAAAGCGAGCGCAGGCGGUUUUUUAAGUCUGAUGUGAAAGCCUUCGGCUCAACCGAAGAAGUGCAUCGGAAACUGGGAAACUUGAGUGCAGAAGAGGACAGUGGAACUCCAUGUGUAGCGGUGAAAUGCGUAGAUAUAUGGAAGAACACCAGUGGCGAAGGCGGCUGUCUGGUCUGUAACUGACGCUGAGGCUCGAAAGUAUGGGUAGCAAACAGGAUUAGAUACCCUGGUAGUCCAUACCGUAAACGAUGAAUGCUAAGUGUUGGAGGGUUUCCGCCCUUCAGUGCUGCAGCUAACGCAUUAAGCAUUCCGCCUGGGGAGUACGGCCGCAAGGCUGAAACUCAAAGGAAUUGACGGGGGCCCGCACAAGCGGUGGAGCAUGUGGUUUAAUUCGAAGCUACGCGAAGAACCUUACCAGGUCUUGACAUACUAUGCAAAUUUAAGAGAUUAGACGUUCCCUUCGGGGACAUGGAUACAGGUGGUGCAUGGUUGUCGUCAGCUCGUGUCGUGAGAUGUUGGGUUAAGUCCCGCAACGAGCGCAACCCUUAUUAUCAGUUGCCAGCAUUAAGUUGGGCACUCUGGUGAGACUGCCGGUGACAAACCGGAGGAAGGUGGGGAUGACGUCAAAUCAUCAUGCCCCUUAUGACCUGGGCUACACACGUGCUACAAUGGAUGGUACAACGAGUUGCGAACUCGCGAGAGUAAGCUAAUCUCUUAAAGCCAUUCUCAGUUCGGAUUGUAGGCUGCAACUCGCCUACAUGAAGUCGGAAUCGCUAGUAAUCGCGGAUCAGCAUGCCGCGGUGAAUACGUUCCCGGGCCUUGUACACACCGCCCGUCACACCAUGAGAGUUUGUAACACCCAAAGUCGGUGG
rnacentral:rRNA from 2 species